AAUAAAAAAUUAAAAUUUAGUGACAUACGUAAGAGUAAAAAUCUUCACCGAAAACGUAAAAAAGUAGAAUAAUAUUAUACAACUGUUGAUCGUCUCAGAGCAUACCUUGACAGUAUUAUAACAUACUAUAAAUUUAAUCAUAAAUAUUAAAAUCUAUUAUUCCGUGAAGAUAAUUAAUUUUCAAAUACACAUAAAGGAAGAGGUCGCAUUGCAAAAUGGAAACGCUAUGAAAA